GACGAACGCUGGCGGCACGCCUAACACAUGCAAGUCGAACGGACUUAAAAGAGCUUGCUUUUUUAAGUUAGUGGCGGACGGGUGAGUAACACGUGAGCAACCUGCCUCUGAGAGGGGGAUAGCUUCUGGAAACGGAUGGUAAUACCCCAUAAAAUAUAAAUAUCGCAUGAUAGAUAUAUCAAAGAAAUUCGCUCAGAGGUGGGCUCGCGUCUGAUUAGAUAGUUGGUGAGGUAACGGCUCACCAAGUCGACGAUCAGUAGCCGGACUGAGAGGUUGAACGGCCACAUUGGGACUGAGACACGGCCCAGACUCCUACGGGAGGCAGCAGUGGGGAAUAUUGCACAAUGGAGGGAACUCUGAUGCGGCGAUGCCGCGUGGAGGAAGAAGGUUUUCGGAUUGUAAACUCCUUUUAUCAGGGACGAUAAUGACGGUACCUGAAGAAAAAGCUCCGGCUAACUACGUG
rnacentral:rRNA from 1 species